UACGAAGCGUGCAAGCGUUACUCGGAAUUACUGGGCGUAAAGCGUGCGUAGGUGGUGAGUUAAGUCUGUCGUGAAAGCCCCGGGCUCAACCUGGGAAUGGCGAUGGAUACUGGCUCGCUAGAGUGCGGUAGAGGAAAGUGGAAUUCCUGGUGUAGCGGUGAAAUGCGCAGAUAUCAGGAAGAACACCAAUGGCGAAAGCAGCUUUCUGGGACGGUACUGACGCUGAGACGCGAAAGCGUGGGGAGCGAACAGG
rnacentral:rRNA from 1 species